GGUUUCCCAGACUCAUGUUGUUUAUACAAACAUAAAAUAUGUAAUUUGAAUUGCCUCGUACGAUUCGGAUUAUGGACAGUGAAAAUAAUCCAGAAACUCUUCAAAGCUGUAGAUCAUUACUCAGUGGGAACGAUUUGCUGGCUCAUUAUGUUGCCACUUAUGAACUGAACAGCUGUUUCGAACGGCUUGUCCUACCAGAAGAGGAAUUGGCCCAUCAGGAUCAAAUCAUUCGGCUAAAAGAGGAAUUUCGCCAAAUACUUGCACAACAACGAGUUGAUAGAGAAGAAGCAUUCUCAAAAGGAGAAUGGGAGGCGGACAGGAAACGUGUAAGAGUCGUAAAGGCUUUUGGUAAAUAUAACGUUUUUGGCUAUCAACAAGACAAACAGUUAUAUUUGCAAGGGUAUGAAGCACUGCAUCUCAUGGAAAUGAAAAGGCUGAUUGUUUACUGGGAUACGGUGAUCGUGUCAAUGGAACAAGCAUAUGUGUUGUUUUUGGGAUAUCCAGAUUCACUAGACUUAGAAGAGUACCUUGUCUACAGUAUGUUAAUGAGAACUGGAUUUUAUUUAUUGAAAUUCGACGCCAAUAGAAUCUAUCAAUCGCAUGAUGACUCUAGUAAAACGUUAGAUGAAUAUUCGAAAUGUGUCUGGCGGAAUUUGUAUGACAUGUUGAACCAGCCUAAUCCACUGCUAGAAGAAACUGAGAAUUCGCUGGAUCUAGAACAAUACAAUGAUAUAAGACGUUCUAUGUUAAGUUUUGGAAACAAAAUCAUGUCACCUACAAAACCCGAAGUUUUUGAGCAGAGUAAAUCAAAACGAAAACGUGUUAAUUCUGAUCACGAAACAAACGUUAGUCAUGAUAUAAAGGACACAACAGAACAGAGUUAUGAAUGCAAACUUAAGCAAUUCAGUGAUCUUUUUGAAAGUUUUGAUGUUAUAAAAAGUUCACUAGUCAAUUUACCGACUGAUGAAAAUGAAGAGAGUAGCCAGUUGAAACUUUCGUUCGACAUGUUUACCGCUGAUGGAUCUGUUUUUCGCAAAAGUUUUCCACCGGCCCCUGAGCAUAGGAUAUUGGUCAGCAGGUCGAACCAACCGUUGCCGACUGCUGGCGAAAUUGGGCGUCUUUUUCAAGGCCAGCCUGAGCCACUGGUGCCUAUUUUAAUGUUUCGCGUAUCUGACACGCUGUCCUUAAGCUGUUUUUUGUACUGUUUUACCAAGUUACCUUCAAAUCUCGUGGCUGUACGCUACCCAGGGUGCUCCAUACAACGGAAAAGUGUCGAGACAGAAGAUGUGCAUUUAAACUAAGCAGAAUUGAGUUUGUUCAGCAAAAACAAAUAGACAGCAAGCAAAAACAUGUUUUGAAUAAUGAAGAGUGAACCUAAAAUAUAUCAUGCAAGAAAACUUAUUGCUUCACCGACGAAUCGCAUCAACAGGAUCAAAAUUGUUUGAGUUAAAAUAGUAAUAUAGAGAUUUUAUAUGAAUAACUCAAUAAGACAAGAAUGAGUAAAAAUUGAUCCGAAUUCCGCUGCAAUUUCUAAA